rnacentral:rRNA from 1 species
AGAGUUUGAUCCUGGCUCAGAACGAACGCUGGCGGCGUGCUUAACACAUGCAAGUCGCACGAGAAAGUUUCCUUCGGGGAAUGAGUACAGUGGCGCACGGGUUAGGAACACGUGGAUAAUCUACCUCUGGGAGGGGGACAACCCGUCGAAAGAUGAGCUAAUACCCCGUAAGACCACGAGAUCUUCGGAUCAUGCGGUAAAAGAUGGCCUCUAUUUAUAAGCUAUCGCCUGGGGAUGAGUCCGCGUCCCAUUAGCUUGUUGGUGGGGUAAUGGCCUACCAAGGCUAAGAUGGGUAGCUGGUCUGAGAGGACGAUCAGCAACACUGGAACUGAGACACGGUCCAGACUCCUACGGGAGGCAGCAGUGGGGAAUAUUGGACAAUGGGCGAAAGCCUGAUCCAGCGACGCCGCGUGGGUGAUGAAGGCCUUCGGGUUGUAAAGCCCUGUCAGCAGGAACGAAUAAGGAUGUUCUAAUCAGCAUCCGAUGACGGUACCUGCAAAGGAAGCACCGGCUAACUCUGUGCCAGCAGCCGCGGUAAGACAGAGGGUGCAAGCGUUGUUCGGAAUUACUGGGCGUAAA